AGUGAACGCUGGCGGUAGGCCUAACACAUGCAAGUCGAACGGCAGCACAGUAAGAGCUUGCUCUUACGGGUGGCGAGUGGCGGACGGGUGAGGAAUACAUCGGAAUCUACUUUUUCGUGGGGGAUAACGUAGGGAAACUUACGCUAAUACCGCAUACGACCUACGGGUGAAAGCAGGGGAUCUUCGGACCUUGCGCGAUUGAAUGAGCCGAUGUCGGAUUAGCUAGUUGGCGGGGUAAAGGCCCACCAAGGCGACGAUCCGUAGCUGGUCUGAGAGGAUGAUCGGCCACACUGAAACUGGGAAACGGUCCAAACUCCACGGGAGGCAGCAGUGGGGAAUAUUGGACAAUGGGCGCAAGCCUGAUCCAGCCAUACCGCGUGGGUGAAGAAGGCCUUCGGGUUGUAAAGCCCUUUUGUUGGGAAAGAAAAGCAGCAGGUUAAUACCCCGCUGUCCUGACGGUACCCAAAGAAUAAGCACCGGCUAACUUCGUG
rnacentral:rRNA from 1 species